rnacentral:rRNA from 1 species
UGGGGAAUUUUGGACAAUGGGGGAAACCCUGAUCCAGCCAUCCCGCGUGUGCGAUGAAGGCCUUCGGGUUGUAAAGCACUUUUGGCAGGAAAGAAACGUCAUGGGUUAAUACCCCGUGAAACUGACGGUACCUGCAGAAUAAGCACCGGCUAACUACGUGCCAGCAGCCGCGGUAAUACGUAGGGUGCAAGCGUUAAUCGGAAUUACUGGGCGUAAAGCGUGCGCAGGCGGUUCGGAAAGAAAGAUGUGAAAUCCCAGAGCUCAACUUUGGAACUGCAUUUUUAACUACCGGGCUAGGGUGGGUCAGAGGGAGGUGGAAUUCCGCGUGUAGCAGUGAAAUGCGUAGAUAUGCGGAGGAACACCGAUGGCGAAGGCAGCCUCCUGGGAUAACACAGACGCUCAUGCACGAAAGCGUGGGGAGCAAACAGG